AUCACACACCAAACGACUCUCGGCAACGGAUAUCUCGGCUCUCGCAUCGAUGAAGAACGUAGCGAAAUGCGACACUUGGUGUGAAUUGCAGAAUCCCGCGAAUCAUCGAGUCUUUGAACGCAAGUUGCGCCCGAAGCCGUCAGGCCGAGGGCACGCCUGCC
rnacentral:rRNA from 1 species